CCAUUUCAAGGGCGGGAGGGAGAGGGGGAAAGGAGGAGGAAGAAGAAAAGGAAGAAAGGGAAGGCGAAGAGGAGGAGAGGAAGAGGAGAAGAAGAGAAGGAGGAGAAAAAGAGGAGGAGGAGAGGAGAGUAGAAAGAAAGGAAGAGGAGGAGGAGGAGAAGAGGAGGAGGAGGAAGAUGAAACAAUGGUAGAAGAAGAAGAGAAAAGGAGGAAGGAGGAGGAAGAAAACAAGGAUGGAGAGAAGGAAGAAGGAGAAGGUGAAGAGGAGGAGAAAAAGAAGUCAAGGAGGAAGAGGAGAAGAAGAGAAGGAGGAGAAAAAGAGGAGGAGGAGAGUAGAAAGAAAGGAAGAAGAGGAGGAGGAGGAGGAGGAGAAGAAGAGGAGGAAGAUGAAGCAAUGGUAGAAGAAGAAAAGAAAAGGAGGAAGGAGGAGGAAGAAAACAAGGAUGGAGAGAAGGAAGAAGGAGAAGGUGAAGAGGAGGAGAGAAAGAAGGCAAGGAGGAAGAGGAAAAGAAGAGAAGGAGGAGAAAAAGAGGAGGAGGAGAGGAGAGUAGAAAGAAAGGAAGAGGAGGAGGAGGAGAAGAGGAGGAGGAGGAAGAUGAAACAAUGGUAGAAGAAGAAGAGAAAAGGAGGAAGGAGGAGGAAGAAAACAAGGAUGGAGAGAAGGAAGAAGGAGAAGGUGAAGAGGAGGAGAAAAAGAAGUCAAGGAGGAAGAGGAGAAGAAGAGAAGGAGGAGAAAAAGAGGAGGAGGAGAGUAGAAAGAAAGGAAGAAGAGGAGGAGGAGGAGGAGAAGAAGAGGAGGAAGAUGAAGCAAUGGUAGAAGAAGAAAAGAAAAGGAGGAAGGAGGAGGAAGAAAACAAGGAUGGAGAGAAGGAAGAAGGAGAAGGUGAAGAGGAGGAGAAAAAGAAGGCAAGGAGGAAGAGGAGAAGAAGAGGAGGAGGAGGAGAAAAAAGAGGAGGAGGAGAGUAGAAAGAAAGGAAGAAGAGGAGGAGGAGGAGGAGAAGAAGAGGAGGAAGAUGAAGCAAUGGUAGAAGAAGAAAAGAAAAGGAGGAAGGAGGAGGAAGAAAACAAGGAUGGAGAGAAGGAAGAAGGAAGAAGGAGAAGGUGAAGAGGAGGAGAAAAAGAAGGCAAGGAGGAAGAGGAGAAGAAGAGAAGGAGGAGAAAAAGAGGAGGAGGAGAGGAGAGUAGAAAGAAAGGAAGAGGAGGAGGAGGAGGAGGAGAGGAGGAGGAGGAAGAUGAAACAAUGGUAGAAGAAGAAGAGAAAAGGAGGAAGGAGGAGGAAGAAAACAAGGAUGGAGAGAAGGAAGAAGAAGAAGGUGAAGAGGAGGAGAAAAAGAAGGCAAGGAGGAGGAGAAGAGGAGGAGGAAGAUGAAGAAAGGGUAGAAGAAGAGCAGAAAAGAGGAAGGAGAAGAAAGAAAACAAGGAGGAAGAGGAGGAGACGUAGAGGAGGAAGAGAAGAAGAAAAGGAAAAAGAGGAAGAGGAAGAUGAAGAAGGGGAGGAGGAGAAAAGGAGAAAGGAGGAGAAAGAAAACCAGGAGGGAGAGAAGAAAAGGAGGAGGAGAAAAGAAGAAGUAAGGAGGAGUGGAAAGAAAGGAGGAGGAAGAGAAGAAGAAGAAAAGGAAGAGGAGGAGGAGGAGGAGGAGGAGGAAGAAGAAGAAGAAGAAGAGGAGAAGGAGAAAAAGAGGGAGGAGGAAAAUAGAAAGAAAGGAGGAGGAAGAGAAGAAGAAAAGGAAGAAAAGGAAGAGGAGAAAAAAGGAAGGAGGAGAAAAAAGGAAGGAGGAGAAAGAAAACAAGGAGGAAGAAAAGAAAAGGAAGAAGGGGAAGGGGAGGAGAGAAAGAAAAGGAGGAGGAGGAAGAAGGGGGGAAAGGGGAAGAGGAGGAAGAGGAUGAAUAAAAAUAAAUGGACCUGGAGAGAACCACCAUCUAGGAAGAAGAGUCAGCCAGAGCAGGCGGGCAACAGGCUGGUAAGGUCGGAGAGGGGGGAGGAAAAAGAGGGGGGUCUUCCCCCUUUCUCCUCCUUCGAUCCCCUUCCCCAGACAUACACACCUUACCCAUAGAAGCCUCUCCUUCCUCUCUUUCUCCCUUGCUUUCCCUUCCUCCCCCAGGAGAAGAAAUGGCUUUGAUCUCAUCUCUCAUAUCCCCCCCCCCCAGACACACACAUACUUGAAGUGGACACACACACACACACACACACACACACACACACACACAUAUGUAUUUCUUUCUCUCCCCUCCCUCACUUUCACUGUCAACGACAUUCUAGUCUAAGCAAACACUGCCACCAAAGAGAGACUUCAAAGCGAGGGAGGGAGGAAAGAAAGAGGGAGAGGAAAAGCCAAGGGAGGAGGAGGAGGAGGAGGAGGAGGAGGGACCCUCCUUUCUUCCUCCCUCCUUUCUUUGCUCACCUUUUGCAGGUCGACACCAGGGACUCCUUCCUUCCUUCCUUCUUUCCUUCCUUCCUUUUCUCCCACAUUCCCAUCCCUUCCUUCCCUCCCCUUUCCACUCCUUUUCUUUCUUCCCUCCCUUUUCUUCCCUCCCUCUGCUCGUUUUCUCCUCUUCCUUCCUUUUUUCCCUUCCUUCCUUUCCCCUGCUAGAUUUCUUCUCUUUCUUUCCUUCUUUCCUCAUUUCCUUUCUUCUUGCUAGAUUUCUACUCUUCCUUCCUUCCUUCCUUCCUUCCUUCCUUCCUUCCUUCCUUCCUUCCUUCCUUCCUUCCUUCCUUCCUUCCUUCCUUCCUUCCUUCCUUUCCCUUGCUAGAUUUCUACUCUUUCUUUCCUCCCUCCCUUCUUUCUUUCCUUCUUUCCUUCCUUCCUCCUUGCUAGAUUUCUACUCUUUCUUUCUUCCCUUCCUUCCUUCCUUUCCCCUGCUAGAUUUCUACUCUUUCCUUCUUCCUUUCCUUCUUUCCUUCCUUCCUCCUUGCUAGAUUUCUACUCUUUCCUUCCUCCCUCCCUUCUUUCUUUCCUUCUUGCUAGAUUUCUACUCUUCCUUCCUUCCUUCCUUCCUUCCUUCCUUCCUUCCUUCCUUCCUUCCUUCCUUCCUUCCUUCCUUCCUUUCCCCUGCUAGAUUUAUACUCUUUCCUUCCUUCCUUCUUUCCUUCCUUCCUUCCUUCCUUCUUUCCUUCCGCCUUGCUAGAUUUCUACUCUUUCCUUCUUCCCUUCCUUCCUUCCUUCCUUCUUUCUUUCUUUCUUUCCUUCCUCCUUGCUAGAUUUCUAUUCUUUCUUACUUCCCUCUUUCUUCCCUUCCUUCUUUCCUUCUUUCCUACCCUGCUAGAUUUAUUCCUUCCCUCUUUCUUUCUUUCCUUCUUCCUUCCUUCCUUCCUUCCCUUGCUAGAUUUAUUCCUUCCCUCUUUCUUUCCUUCUUCAUUCCUUCCUUCCCCUGCUAAAUAUAUUCCUUCCCUCUUUCUUCCCUUCUUUCCUUCCUUCCUUCCCCUGCUAAAUGUAUUCCUUCCCUCUUUCUUCCUUCCUUCCUUCCUCUGCUAGAUUUAUUCCUUCCCUCUUUCUUUCUUUCUUUCCUUCCUCUGCUAGAUUUAUUCCUUCCCUCUUCCUUCCUUCCUUCCUCUGCUAGAUUUAUUCCUUCCCUCUUCCUUCCUUCCUCUGCUAGAUUUAUUCCUUCCCUCUUUCUUUCUUUCCUUCUUCCUUCCUUCCCUUGCUAGAUUUAUUCCUUCCCUCUUUCUUUCCUUCUUCAUUCCUUCCUUCCCCUGCUAAAUAUAUUCCUUCCCUCUUUCUUCCCUUCUUUCCUUCCUUCCUUCCCCUGCUAAAUAUAUUCCUUCCCUCUUUCUUCCCUUCUUUCCUUCCUUCCUUCCCCUGCUAAAUGUAUUCCUUCCCUCUUUCUUCCUUCCUUCCUUCCUCUGCUAGAUUUAUUCCUUCCCUCUUUAUUUCUUUCUUUCUUUCUUUCCUUCCUCUGCUAGAUUUAUUCCUUCCCUCUUCCUUCCUUCCUUCCUUCCUUCCUCUGCUAGAUUUAUUCCUUCCCUCUUUCUUUCUUUCUUUCUUUCUUUCUUUCCUUCCUCUGCUAGAUUUAUUCCUUCCCUCUUCCUUCCUUCCUUCCUUCCUUCCUUCCUCUGCUAGAUUUAUUCCUUCCCUCUUUCUUUCUUUCUUUCUUUCUUUCUUUCUUUCUUUCUUUCUUUCUUUCCUUCCUCUGCUAGAUUUAUUCCUUCCCUCUUCCUUCCUUCCUUCCUUCCUUCCUCUGCUAGAUUUAUUCCUUCCCUCUUCCUUCCUUCCUUCCUUCCUUCCUUCCUUCCUUCCUUCCUUCCUUCCUUCCUCUGCUAGAUUUAUUCCUUCCCUCUUUCUUUCUUUCCUUCCUUCCUUCUUAGGUGAGAUUUCUACUCUUUCCUUCUUCCCUUUCUUCUCCCCUCCCUCUUCUAGUUUUCUAUUCUUCCUUCCUUCCUCCCUUCUUUCCUCCCUCCCUUCCUUCCUUCUCUGCUGUUUCCUUCUUCCCUUCGCUAGUUUUCUACCUUCUCCAUCCUUCCUUAACUCCACUAGUUUCCCAUCCAUCCACCCCCUUUCUUCCUUUAUCAUCCAUCCAUCUUUCCUUUGGGUUGCUGCGAGUUUUCCGGGCUGUCUGGCCAUGUUCUAGAAGCAUUCUCUCCUGACGUUUCACCCACAUCUGUGGCAGGCAUCCUCAGAGGUUGUGAGGUCUAUUGGAAACUAGGCAAGUGGGCUUUAUAUUCCUAUGGAAUGAUGUCCAGGAUGGGAGAAAGAACUCUUGUCUGUUGGAAGCAAGUGUGAAUGUUGCAAUUGACCACCUUGAUUAGUAUUGAAUAGACUUGUAACUUCAAAGCCUGGCUGCUUCCUGCCUGGGGAAUCCUUUGUUAGGAGGUGUUAGCUGGCCCUGGUUGUUUCAUGUCUGGAAUUCCUCUGUUUUGAGUGUUUCUGUUGAAAUUGUCCCCAUGCUUGUGGAUUUCAGAAAGGCACCGAAGACUAAUCCAAGCCAGAGAAGUCAGCCAUAGCAGAGCACUUGAUGGACCAACCUGAACAUAGGAUAUUAUUGGAGAACACAGAAAAGCUGGACCACUCUCAGAACUAUCAUGCCAGACUAGAAAUCCAUAAGCCAUUGAAAUCCAUAAGCACAAUUUCAACAGAAAGGAAGGAAACCAUGAAAAUGAACAAGAUCUGACUACUAGUAUUUAAAAACUAAAAAUCUGGAGCAACACUGAAAAAACAGAGGAAUUCCAGACAUGAAACAAUCUGGGCCAGGAACCCAACAAGACAUGAAGCAAUCAGGGCCAGGAACCCAACAAAGGAUCCGCCUCCCCGGGGCAGGGAGCAGCCAGGCUUUGAAGCUGCGAGGCCAUUCAAUGCUAAUCAAGCUCAAACAGGCAAGAAUCCUUUCUCCCACCCACAGAUAUGUAUAUGUGUGUGUGUGUGUGUGUAUAUGUAUAUAUAUAUAUAUAUAUAUACACACACACACACACACACACAUACAUAUAUGUGUGUGUGUGUAUAUAUAUUGUUGCCAAUUGUACGCCGCCCUGAGUCCCUCCGGGUGAGAAGGGCGGGAUAGAAAUAUUUGAAAUAUAUAUAUAUAUAUAUAUAUAUAUACACACACACACACACACACAUACACACACACACACACACACACAUACAUACAUACACACACACACACACACACACACACACACACACACACACAUAUAAACCCCACUUGCCUAGUUUCCAACAGAGCUCACAACCUCUGAGGAUACCUGCCAUAGUUGUGGGCGAAACGUCAGGAGAGAAUGCUUCUGGAAUAAGGCCAGACGGAGCGGAAAAUUCCCAGCAACGUAAUGAUUCCGAUCAUGGACGCCUUGGAGAACACAACCUUGCUUUCUUCCUUACCUUCCUUCUUCCCUUUCUCUUUCUUUCUUUCUUUCUUUCUUUCUUUCUUUCUUUCUUUCUUUCUUUCUUUCUUUCUUUCUUUCUCUCUCUCUCUCUCUCAGGCUCAGCUUCGAGAGAGCUACAAGUCCCUCUCCUCCUUCCAUCCUUCUCUCCCCCUUCUUCUUCAAGACAGAGGUCCAGAUGUAAAAGCUCUCUUUCUGGGGAGAAGGGAGGCUCGGGAAGGCCGGCAGGAGAGAGGCUGCAAUCAGCGACCGCCUGCCCGCCUGCCUGGCUUCCGAGGCGGGUUUCCCGACCCGCCAGCCCUCCACACCGCCACGCGUGGACCCCGCUCCCACCCGAGAAGGAAGAAGAAGGAGAACGAGGCUCGAGGCUCCCUCCCGGCGCCUCCCUUCCCCGCGUCCGGCUCCUGCCUUCCCCGCCGCGCGCCGGGAAUGAGCCUCGCCUCGCCUCGCCGCCCAGCCCUCUCCCGCUCUUCCUUCCACACACACACAGCCACACUCACACGCGCGCAUCUGUCACGGGUGGCCCAGCAGCAGCCGCCCCAACGGAGAGCCGCUUCCAGGCGUUCACACUGACUGCUAAUGAGAGCAAGGAUGCAGCAGCCGGCAGGGUCAGGGCUGGGGUCGAACAAUUUGGAUGGUUCCAGAUUGCGGAAGAAGCGAGACAAGAGAAGAAAAGCUCGGGCUGCAAAUUUCAUGAUCUUAGCGAUGGUCAAGGAGGCCUAGGAGGUGGAGCCCAAAGCUUUGCAGACAAGGUUGCGAAGGGUGUGGACCUCAUGAGGCCUUUGAGUCAUCUGGGUGUCUCCUUUGGACACAAGAACUGGGGAUUACUCAGGGAAAGAAAGUCGGACAAGCUGCCACUUGGAAUCAGCUCAGCUAGCUUCUGGUUUGUGUGCCAAAUAAACGAAGAGGAUCAAGACAAUGAAGGCUAUAAGAAGAUAAAACAAUAGAUAGUGUAGGAAGCCAUACGAGAAUUCCACUCUCCGGCAGCAAUCGGAAAUGGUACAACCCAUCAGCAGAGGAAAGAUGUUAUCCCUUCCUGCUGCAUCAUCAAAUGUAUGCAAGUUUUGAAAUGCCACACAUAGAGAUGGUAUGAGUAAUCAUUCUGGAUUAACAACAAUGGGAGAAAACAUUCCUCCGAUGCAUCAUACCUUCCUCAAUGGGAGACUGAAAGAGGCUACACGGCACAGCUUCCAAGUGGCAGAGAGAACUUGGUGGUUUAUAAAAAAAAAAAGUGUCUGAAAAUAUUCCCAUUUGUCUCUCUCGGGAAGAGGUGAUAUCUUGGAAUCCCACAGAACAUUUUGACAUGUAAGUGUGAAAUCACAUCCUCUCGUUCCGUGCAUAACAUGACCCAAAAAUACAGAAACAGGGUAAGCGUUUCACAUUUCUUUCCUCUGAACUUAUGCUAAAAAUGCAUCCUUUUUAAAUGCAGCUUAUUCAACUCUUUGGAGGAUACUUAUUUCCAGCAGUUAACACCUGACCCCAAUUUUAGUGGGUAAUUAGUGAACUAGAUAACCACACAAAGUAGGUAAUUAUUUAGUCCCCAAGGGUACAGUACAAAUGGGUAGUGAGUGCGAAAAACAGCACAACCCUAAUUAUUGUACAUUCGCGUUGGCCAUUUUGACAAAUACGGCUAACUCUCCCUAAAUGGUUUUGUGAUCAAGCAAGAAACUUGUUGGAUAUCAGUUGCACAUGUAUCUAUGAUCUAGGCAGGAUGGCAAAAGCGAACUUAAUGCACUUACCUUUUAUAGUCAUUAUGGCCUGGGAAAUGCCCCUUGCAGGUGUCCAUGUUUCCAAGUUGCAUAUCUCUGGUCCAUCACAGAAAAGACAAGGCAUGUGCAAAACAUAACAGAACACAACUGAACAUCAGAGGCUUGAAUAGCAAGGACCUGUGUAUCCAAGGCAUGUUCAUAUCGGAGACAAGGACUUCCAAGUUGACCCCUUGGCCCCAUGUACAAAAAUAGACACAUGUAGAAAUUGCUGUUCUUCUAUAGCAAUGAUGGGCAACCUUUUGCAUUUGGUCUGUCAUAAUUCACCAAAAAAAACCUAGCAUGACUUGGGUGGUGAGUCACUUCGAGAAAAGGAGCAUAAUUUCGCAAUAUAUAUCGUUUAAAUAACAAAAACAUAUAACUGUACUAGCUGUGCCUGGCCACGCGUUGCUGUGGCAAAGUGGUGGUAGUAUUGGUUAAAAAUUGUUGUAUAAUUUUUAUUUGAUGUUAUUUGUAUUUUUUAAUUAAUUUUAUUGUAAGUUAUCUUUUUAUUUAUUAUAUUUUAUUAUUUUCUUGUAUCAUUUUUAGUUAUUUUUUGUUAUUAUGGAUUUUAUUGUAUUGAUUUUUUUAGUGUUUUUAAUUAUUUUUAGUGUUUUUUAUUAUUUUUUAUUGGGUUGCUAGGAGACCAAGUUGGAGGAGCUUAGCCUUCUAACUGGCAGCAAUUGGAUAAAAGCAAUUAUUUCUCUCUCUCUAAUUAGGACUUUAUUUUUCUUUUCUUUUUGUUGUAUCAACCUAGAGGCGUGGAUGAUAGGUUGUGUCAUCAAAUUUCGAGUUUGGGGGGCCUGUAGUUUUGUUGUUUUGUGGGUCGCCGUGAUGCCAUCACUCUUAUAUAUAUAUAGAUUUAAUAAAUCAAAAACUAUUUACUACAAUUAUUUCCAUGCACAACAAUCUAUGGUACCUCUUGUAGUUUCCACGCUGAUUUCUCUCUAUUGUAGUUUCAAUGUAGUCAUGAAUAAUGAAUAAUAUAAUAAUAAUAUAAUAGUAGUAAUAUAAUAAUAUAAUACAAUAAUAAUUCUUGAAGAAAGCAAUGAGUAAUUUUAGCAGUAUUCUUUCUACUGCAAUAAUGUCUGAAAUUUGGGACUUCCUCUGCAUGCAAAAUUCGCAAGUGUUUUUUUUUUCAACAGCAGAAAAUAACGUUUCCUAUUAAAAUCUCCAGCGAAAUACAAUUUUCUGUGCAGAAAAUACUGUCUCCUGUUUGAAACCACUAUAUGUGAAUUUUUCACAGAAGAUGUUCCAAACUGCAAAUGCUCUCAUUAAUUCAGGGUCCUUCUCAAUAUAGGUUUUCCCAUCAUUUAAAAUAUUUGUUUUCAAAUAUUCUUUACACCUCUAUUCUAAUUUUGAAGGAAAAAUGCAACUGGUUACUAAUAAGGAAUGAAUUCAUUGGACAUAUACAGUAGAAUCUCACUUAUCCAACACUCGCUUAUCCAACGUUCUGGAUUAUCCAAUGUAUUUUUGUAAUCAAUGUUUUCAAUUCAUUAUGAUAUUUUGGUGCUAAAUUAGUAAAUACAGUAAUUACAACAUAACAUUACUGCGUAAUGAACUACUUUUUCUGUCAAAUUUGUUGUAUAACAUGAUGUUUUGGUGCUUAAUUUGUAAAAUCAUAACCUAAUUUGAUGUUUAAUAGGCUUUUCCUUAAUCCCUCCUUAUUAUCCAAGUUAUUCGCUUAUCCAAGCUUCUGCCGGCACAUUUAGCUUGGAUAAGUGAGACUCUACUGUAAUACAAUUAUAGCAAUAAAUAACACUUACAUGACCAGAUCAAAGGGUCAUUUAAUGUUAGCAUUAAAUAGUUUUCCAAGCCUCGCAUCCUGGCCUGGGAGAAUCCUUUGUUCAGUGUCGUUAGCUGCCCCUGAUUGACUCCUGUCUGUAAUUACUCAGUUUCACUGUUCACUAAUGGGUUUGCUGCACUUUGGACCAGCCCUCCUUAUUAUCCAACAUAUUCGAUUAUCCAACAUUCUGCCGGCCCAUUUAUGUUGGAUAAGUGAGACUCUACUGUAUUAGGUGGCAGCAAAUAUAUGUCUGUGGCCUCAUCAGCAUUUGGCAUGAUUAGACUAGAGUAUUUUAUCUUUAUGGUGCAUGUGUCCAAACAUGAAAAAAAAAUCGUAGCUGUAGCUCUAAAGACAUACAACUCAAUUGUACGGUCAACCACAACAGGGAAAUGUUCUCGCUUGUCCAUUUGAACCCCAUCUGCAUUAGUAAAUUGACAAAAUGGGGUGGGGGGAGAUAUAUAAGUGAACAAUGUUUGAGCUAUCACUUCUUGCCAUGCCACUUAUGAGGAUACGAUUAUUCUUAUUGAUCCUUAAGGACAAGUCUUUGUUGACAGCUUGAGAAAAUCAACACAGUCAGUGUGAGAUGUCUGGUCAAGAUAUGGCUCAUAACAACUUGCUGAGGAAGUUCAUGUUAAUUGUCCUGUAGGUGAGCCAUAUGUUCUCCAGAUGUUUUGUAUAGCUACUGAUUUGAUGGUUGACUUUGGUCUUGCUGACUGGAAGAUGAUGGGAACUGUGUAUUGCAGUUCCCAUUACCUUGAAACAUUGCAGCUCAAACAUCUGGAGACUGGUGUCAUUCCACUGACCUUUGGACCAGAAAAUGUCCACCUUGGACUCCUACUCAGGAUGCUCAAACUUUCCUAUUUCAUUUAGGUUCCAGGAAUACACCGGAAGUACAUAAAGAUUGUGUCUCUUUAGCACAGUAGUAAUAUUACCAAUAAUUUGAAAGGGAAGAAAGUGUCAGCUGAAUGAUAUGAAUCCUACCCAGGCAUCAUGUUUACAAACUCAUUGUGGCCAAUGGGGCCGUGGUGUCAACGUGAUGGCCUGAAGCAUG